AAUAGCGGAGGAAAAGAAACUAACAAGGAUUCCCCUAGUAGCGGCGAGCGAAGCGGGAAGAGCUCAAAUUUAUAAUCUGGCACUUUCAGUGUCCGAGUUGUAAUCUCUAGAAGUGUUUUCCGCGUUGGACCGCACACAAGUCUGUUGGAAUACAGCGGCACAGUGGUGACACCCCCGUACACGGUGCGGACGCCCAGCGCUUUGUGAUACACUUUCGAAGAGUCGAGUUGUUUGGGAAUGCAGCUCAAAUUGGGUGGUAAAUUCCAUCUAAAGCUAAAUAUUGGCGAGAGACCGAUAGCGAACAAGUACCGUGAGGGAAAGAUGAAAAGCACUUUGGAAAGAGAGUUAACAGUACGUGAAAUUGUUGGAAGGGAAACGCUUGAAGUCAGACUUGCUUGCCGGAGCUUGCUUCGGUUUGCAGGCCAGCAUCAGUUUUCCGGGGUGGAUAAUGGCGGUUAGAAGGUAGCAGCUUCAGCUGUGUUAUAGCUUUCCGCUGGAUACAUCUUGGGGGACUGAGGAACGCAGCGUGCUUUUAGCGGGGGUUUCGACCUCUUCACGCUUAGGAUGCUGGUGUAAUGGCUUUAAACGACCCGUCUAAAAACCC
rnacentral:rRNA from 1 species